UACGUAGGGUGCGAGCGUUGUCCGGAUUUAUUGGGCGUAAAGAGCUCGUAGGCGGUUUAUCGCGUCGGCCGUGAAAUCUCCACGCUUAACGUGGAGCGUGCGGUCGAUACGGGCAGACUUGAGUUCGGUAGGGGAGACUGGAAUUCCUGGUGUAGCGGUGAAAUGCGCAGAUAUCAGGAAGAACACCAAUGGCGAAGGCGGCACUCUGGGCCGGUACUGACGCUGAGGAGCGAAAGCGUGGGGGAGCGAACAGG
rnacentral:rRNA from 1 species